CACGUGAUGUCGCCACUGAACUCGUUGUUGCAGUUUCUUUAAAAGCGAAAUACGCUGUUUUUUUAUGAUUAAACUGGCUUGAUCGCCACUUGGCGAUUAGUGAUUGGGUCCUCGAACACAGGCACGUCACCAUGCAACACCGCGUAGUGCACUUCCUCCUGGAGAGAGGCAUGGACCUGUCUUGAUGCUGCCUUUCACGCGUCGCCAUCAUAAGAGAUUUCAACUGUGCUGGUCAUGGUCAUCAUCAGGUACGUCAUGUACCACAUCACCGCUUUCUCGGCAUUACUCUCGACCGGAGUUUAGCAGAGUUCUCGGUGGCGCACGUCUCCUCAGGCUAUGCUCAGCAUUCAUUGAUCUUAUCACAUUUCCCUGCUUCACAACCUCCCUGUUACCACAGUGAAAAUGUUCAGAGUCCAUCCUAGCAAAGAGCAUUAAACUCUGUCUUGGUAUUCCUCGAGCGACGUACAAACGCUUUAGCCAUGGCAGAAGCACGGGAAGCACCUGUAUCAGCUCUUAGGUGCAAGAAAUGUUCCGCCACUAUGCGGUUGGCAACGCGCCACCACCGCCAUCUUCAGCUUCGAGCCAUUAAGAGACGUCACCACCCUUCCUUUACCCGAGAUAUCCAGACAAAACGUGGUCUUAUUCCGAGGCACAAGCCACAUGCAUUACCGGAUAUCCUAACAUGGGCUCUACAGAAUUACUGACAUAAGAAUUAAUGUGCCUGGACUCCCGGGAAAGAAGGAUAUACCAACGCAUGUUCUUCGCCAGUUCAGUCCUGAGUUGCUAAAGAGUACCGCAGGCAGGAUGCAGAUUUUCACGGAUGCAUCUACGACAUCAUCCGGCUCCUCGUGUGCGUUUGUUAUCCCGGAGGCGAAUAUCGAAAGAGCAGUGCGGCUGUCUCACGUCACCUCUGUCAUGGAGUCCUCUUGGCACUAAGUUUUAUCACUCGCGAUCUUCACUUGUUUGCUGGAUCAUCUAUAGCGACUAAAAAUGUGCGUUACAGGCUCUGGCUUCCUUGUUUACUCCGGGAUCUUUUGCAUCAGCAGCACAAGAUGUCUUGCACAGACCAUGCAGCAGUUUUAAAAGGUCAUGACAUCCAAAUGCAGUGGGUCCCUAGUCACUGUCGCGUUGCAGGCAACGAGACUGUGGACGCUGCUGCACGCCCGGCUCUUCAGCUUAGGCGCGUCCAACUGAUGCCCAUUUAUUUCACCAAGGGUGACGCGGGGCGAAUGCUGAACGAGCUCAAGCAACAAACGUGCAGCACCUCCUGGCUAACAGGAUCUACUCGGGAUUUGCUUUUGUACAAGGUCGAUCCAGAGUUACGCUUUCGAGCACCACCUUCCUUCACGUGACAAACGACGACUGUCCUAUAGCCUAUAGGCUACGGCUCAGUGUACCUGUUAGGCAUAGAGCCGAGCCAACACAUAAUUUUGCUGUUAAUUAACUUUCAAUGUGUACCUGUCGGCUGCCUACGAGAAGGACACGUUAGAAGGACGACAUUCGCUUUUCGACCCAUCAAUGGGGAUUACGACACCUUCUAGGUCAUCCGGAGCCAACGUCCCUUUCAAACCCUCGCAACGUCCGGCUGGGAGUCACGGAAAGCAGAUCAGCCGUGUCAGUAAGCUUUUGUUACCCACUUCGGAGAAAGCCAUUUUGAAAGUGAAAGUUUUCCAUAUCAGCCCAAGUUCACGUGUAAGCUUUGACGCCAGUUUUGAAUUCUCUUAUUGGUGAAGGAGCUGUGUCCUUUCCGAUAAAAGGCGACGCUUCUUAACCACUGGGAUUGAUUGUCGGUAGCCGACGUGCCAUCAUGUGUUGUAAAUAAAUGUAAAUAGUUA